CAAAUUUUGCUCAGCUGAAUGGUUGCCAUGGAGACUAGAUAAUUUCUCAAACGCAUGAAGGAAUCAAAGCGAAACUCCAGAUUUGUAGUACAAAUGUGUUGAAUAGCGAAUUCCUGCAAAGACCAACAGUGGGACCAGUGGCACCAACUGACUGGACCUCUGUGAAUUCGGUCAGUCAAGCAGAUGGAGAGCAGGACUGAUGACAGAGAGGGGAUCCGGCACCUGAUGCUGCAGCGGCCUGACCGGAUCGUUUGAGCUGAUUGGACUCUGGAGAUUCUGGGUUACAGAGGCACGGGGACGGACGGGCAGAUGGACGGAUGGACACUGGAUGUGGGCAGAUGUACUGAGACCUCUGCAGCCCCUCAGAGGAAAACGAGGCGGACCCAGAGGCUGGCUGUGUGCCGCAGUUCAGCAGGUGGCAGACGGAUCGGCACAGACUGUUACUUAUCAGAGGAAAACAAAAGCUUAUCGUUUUCUGGGAAGAAAGGAAACGUCGCUUUAGAUCGUUUUUUCCAAGGUUCCCUCUGGUUUGUUCAGUUUAUCAGCAUGCAC